rnacentral:rRNA from 1 species
UACGGAGGAUGCGAGCGUUAUCCGGAUUUAUUGGGUUUAAAGGGUGCGUAGGCGGGGACGCAAGUCAGAUGUGAAAAUUAUGGGCUCAACCCAUAACCUGCAUUUGAAACUGUAGUUCUUGAGUGAUGGAGAGGCAGGCGGAAUUCCGUGUGUAGCGGUGAAAUGCGUAGAUAUACGGAGGAACACCAGUGGCGAAGGCGGCCUGCUGGACAUUAACUGACGCUGAGGCGCGAAAGCGUGGGGAGCAAACAGG